rnacentral:rRNA from 1 species
UUGAACGCUGGCGGCAGGCCUAACACAUGCAAGUCGAGCGGAUGAAGGGAGCUUGCUCCUGGAUUCAGCGGCGAACGGGUGAGUAAUGCCUAGGAAUCUGCCUGGUAGUGGGGGAUAACGUCCGGAAACGGGCGCUAAUACCGCAUACGUCCUGAGGGAGAAAGUGGGGGAUCUUCGGACCUCACGCUAUCAGAUGAGCCUAGGUCGGAUUAGCUAGUUGGUGGGGUAAAGGCCUACCAAGGCGACGAUCCGUAACUGGUCUGAGAGGAUGAUCAGUCACACUGGAACUGAGACACGGUCCAGACUCCUACGGGAGGCAGCAGUGGGGAAUAUUGGACAAUGGGCGAAAGCCUGAUCCAGCCAUGCCGCGUGUGUGAAGAAGGUCUUCGGAUUGUAAAGCACUUUAAGUUGGGAGGAAGGGCAGUAAGUUAAUACCUUGCUGUUUUGACGUUACCAACAGAAUAAGCACCGGCUAACUUCGUG